ensembl:lncRNA
CCCCCCCCUCCCCCGGCCCCACAGCGCCAUUCCGCCCCACACCCCCCUCCCAUCCCCCCCCCGUUCUGCUCAGCGCUGUUGGCCGCCGCCCCACCGCCGCUCCGCUCCAACUCGGCCAAAGGUUCCUCCGCUCCCCCCCCGCCCCCGGGAGAGGCGGCUGUAGGGCCGUCUAUGGGGCGGCGGCGGGGUGCCGAUCCCAAAGCGGAACCUUAUGGGGGCGACGCCACCGCGCUGCGCUCCAUUUUAGGUCUGCGGUGGGGCUGAGGGGGAACGGCCCCAUAGAGCCGCUGUGUGGCCGUGUGGGACUGUGGGGUCUGCGCGGGGCUAUGGGGCCCAUGUGGGGCUAUGGGAUCCCAGGGUCCACUCAGGGUUACGGGGUCCCAUGUUCCAUGUGGGGCUAUGGGGUCUGUGCAGGGCUAUGGGGUCUGUGUAGGGCUAUGGGGCCCAUGUGGGGCUAUGGGAUCCCAGGGUCCACUCAGGGUUAUGGGGUCCCAUGUUCCAUGUGGGGCUAUGGGGUCUGUGUAGGCUAUGGGGUCUGUGUAGGGUAUGGGGUCUGUGUAGGGUAUGGGGUCUGUGUAGGCUAUGGGGUCUGUGCAGGGCUAUGGGGUCUGUGUAGGGUAUGGGGUCUGUGUAGGCUAUGGGGUCUGUGUAGGGCUGUGGGUUCUGUGUAGGGCUAUGGGGUUUGUGUAGGGCUAUGGGGCCCAUGUGGGGCUAUGGGAUCCCAGGGUCCACUCAGGGUUACGGGGUCCCAUGUUCCAUGUGGGGCUGUGGGGUCUGUGUAGGGCUAUGGGGUCCAUGUGGGGCUAUGGGGUCUGUAUGAGGCUAUGGGGUCUGUAUGAGGCUAUGGGGUCUGUAUGGGGCAAUGGGGUCCAUGUGGGUCUGUGGGGUCUGUAUGGAGCUGUGGGGUAUGUAUAGGGCUAUGGGGUCUGUAUGGGACUAUGGGGUCUAUGCGGGUCUAUGGUGUCCGUGUGGGUCUAUGGGGUCUGCAUGAGGCUAUGGGGUCCAUGCGGGGCUAUGGUGUCUGUAUAGGGCUAUGGGGUCUGCAUGGGGCUAUGGGGUCCAUGCAGGGCUAUGGGGUCUGCAUGGGGCUAUGGAGUCCAUGCGGGGCUAUGGGGUCUAUAUGGGACUAUGGGGUCUGUGUGGGGCUAUGGGGUCGCUGUGUGGUUCCCCCCCGCUCCCUCAUGGGGCCGACCAUACGGGGCUGCUGCUCACUGUGGGGUGCGGAGCUGCAGGGACCCGCUUCAGCGCCGACCCGAUGGGACCCCCUUUGUUUCUUAUAGGGUCUCACAGAGCGCUCUAUUUGUUGUUGUGGGGUCUCCGCUCUGUUAUGGGGUCUCCCCUCUGUUUGUUGUGGGGCCUCUGCUCUGUUAUGGGGUCUCCGCUCUGUUAUGGGGUCUCCGCUCUGUUUGUUGUGGGGUCUCCGCUCUGCUGUGGGGUCUCCGCUCUGUUUGUUGUGGGGUCUCCGCUCUGUUGUUGUGGGGUCUCCGCUCUGCUGUGGGGUCUCCGCUCUGUUUGUUGUGGGGUCUCCGCUCUGUUUGUUGUGGGGUCUCUGCUCUGUUGUGGGGUCUCCGCUCUGUUGUGGGGUCUCCGCUCUGUUAUGGGGUUUCCAGGGCGGCAGUGUUUACCGCUCACACCUUCCCCUGCUGGGCUCACUGCCCUCAGCGGCACGUGGGGAAACGGAGGCGCUGCCGGGGGGGGCACAGCGCUCCCCCCCCCCCCCAAACCCCCCCCGGCUGUAGGGCCGCCAAGUGGGGGAUGGGUGAUGGCCGCGAUCCUAUGGGGUGGGCUCAGCGCGGCGCUUCCCUUUGCCCCACAUACCCAAAUGGGGCCCUGAGGGCAGCGCAGCGUCCACUGCCCCCCCCCGCCCCCCAACUGCUCCCCCAAACUGACCUCCACUGCCCCCCACUGCCCCCCAACUGCCCUCCACUGCCCCCCACUGCCCCCCAACUGACCUCCACCGCCCCCCAACUGCCCUCCACUGCUCCCCACUGCCCCCCAACUGACCUCCACUGCCCCCCC